rnacentral:rRNA from 1 species
CCCCUAGAUGUUCUGGGCCGCACGCGCGCUACACUGAACAGUUCAACAAGUCUUAACCUUGGCCGAUAGGUCUGGGUAAUCUUUGAACGCUGUUCGUGAUUGGGAUAGACCUUUGCAAUUAUGGGUCUUCAACGAGGAAUUCCUAGUAAACGCAAGUCAUCAGCUUGCAUUGAUUACGUCCCUGCCCUUUGUACACACCGCCCGUCGCGCCUACCGAUUGAAUGGUCCGGUGAAAUCUCGGGACGGCGGCUUGGUCGCUUGCGUCCGACUGCUGAAACUUGAUUAAACCAUAUCAUUUAGAGGAAGGUGAANUCGUAACA